rnacentral:lncRNA from 1 species
UGGCAGAUGCAGGCAAGAAACCACCUAUUGAAAUCCUACCUCCGGGGAUGAUGUCACUUAAUGCCCCCAUUUCCAUUUCGAAAAAACCAGCUUCUGCUGCUCAGAACUCCCAGCCACAACCAAUUAAGCCAUUGGCACUGGAAGCACCUCCUACAACCACAGCAGCGCCAGACAGUUCUACGCAGCAGCUUGAAUCUGCACCUGCACCAGUUAGUGAUCCACCUCCAUCAGACUCCACACCAACUCCUGAGGCCACUACACCUGAAUCAAAUUCGGGUGAAACAGCUGUAGCUAAUGGAGGUCCUACCCCGGCGUCAGUAAGUGAAGAAAAUCCAAAUGUUAAUGGGGAAACUGUUCAGGCAGAGACUACAAGUGAUCCAGCCCCUCCUGAGGCCCCAUCACCGGUAGCAGAGGUUUUAGAGACCAAUACUCCAAAUCCAACUACAGUACCUGCAAGUGGUGACCCUUUCCUAUGAUUGGAAUACCUGCAAGUGGUGACCCUUUCCUAUGAUUGGAAUACCUCCCGCACUGUUGAAGUAAAUGAAUUUAUUUACAAUUCAAGAUUUGUUUACGUUUGUAAAGAAAUUAUUUUAGAUAUAAAGGAAAUCUAGUAUUAGUUUGUAACAAAUGUAUAAUUUGGUGGUACAAUUGUACCUAGCAUAUGUCUUUC